GGUUUCGUAGUGUAGUGGUCAUCACGUUUGCCUCACACGCAAAAGGUCCCCAGUUCGAAACUGGGCGGAAACA
rnacentral:tRNA from 1 species